rnacentral:misc_RNA from 1 species
UAUGUGGUAACGCGUGCGACGCUUCAUAUUCUCUAUAAAUCCGCAGCUACAGCUUUGAUACUACGCAGUGUACGAUAAAAAACAGGUACUACAAAUUGUUGUAUUAUUUUGUAUAUCUUCCAGAGACUCGAAAUGAAGAUUUUUGCAGUUAUUAUGUGUGUGCUGGCUGUCACGGUGGUUUAUGGCAAUUGCUUAAUUGCUUAUGCUCCAACUUUGAUGAGAGACUUCAACGAUCAUCUCAUGAAAUGUAAUGCGGAAACAGGCUCGUCACCGAGUAAGCCCCACAUUAACUCGUUCAAAUGCGCGAUGGUCCGAUAUGCUGCAACGCUUUACAAAAGAAGCGAAAACAUAAAGGAUUUGAUUUUGAAAUCAUUAAUGGACUUUACAUCCGACAAGGUUAAAUUAGAACGAACGCGCGCAACGUAUAUAAGAUGUCAUAAUGACGUGAUGACAAGCGAAAUCACCGGUGAUAAACAAGCGGCGAUAGCUACCAGAUGCCAUAAACCGAUUAUGUCUAUCCUCGACAAAGCGGAAUAAAAGCACGAAUUCGAUUCUUUCCAAGUCAACUGUAUGAAACGGAUGAAACGUUCUCAAUAGUUUUCCCAAACAUUUUUACACAUCUCUUUGGUAAAUGAAUAAUUUGGAGACGAGGAUGAUUCACUCACGGGAUUUCCUCGACGAUGGACCAUAGGUUAUGAACAUUAGGCGGAAAAAUAUUUUCUUUUCUUUGCAAAUUAGACUCCAAGCUUGAUAAAAAACAAACAGAAUCAACGGACUAAUUUGAAGCCAAGAAGCGACUGAGUUUUCUGCGACGAUGGCUCUAGAAUUAUGGAACGUUCGCAGAAGAGGAGAUUUUCACAAGCUAGACUUCAAAAUUGAUGAAGUCCUAGCAGACUUGAUAGAAUAGUUUUUGAAUAAAAACUAUUCGUCUGCGACGUAAAUUCUUGCCCGACAUUUUUUCCACAUCAAUUUCCUGAAACCUCAACCACGCAGAUUGGCAUUAAUCGUGCCGGUUCGCGAUAUCGAUCGAGUGGCCUCUCGCUUCAAGAAUCGUCUGUCAUAAUUGCCACAUUAAAUGCAUGGCGCGAGGAAUGUGAAGAGAAGAAAAUCCAUGCGUGAGAAAACCGCGAAAAACGACGACGGAGAAACACGGUGACGCAUCUUCGCGCUGUGAGGAAAACGCGAGCAGCUUUCAAAUCCUCCGUGGUUUCGCAUGAACGAAGUUCACGCGUUAGAGCCGUUUUGCAUACUGUGCCGAUAUUUUAUUGCCGAACGACCAAUUCCGAGGUGCAGAGCAAGGCCGAGUCUCGCUUUCGCAGAAGCCACUUGCCCGUUUAACCGUGACAGAGGACGCGCAAAAUCGGACGGUCGCGCGACGGCUGUCUGCGCUUUGUGUGCCUAUUGCGGGCAAUAACGUGACACACGAGCUGCACGAACUGCCUGACCUUGGACGGUCACCGUAAUUGCUAUCGUUAUUUUUAUCACUUAUCGUCAUCGUAAUUUGCCGUUGUUAUUUGCAUCGCUCAUCAUCAUUCGUUAUUAUUUUGCAAUGCGUUAUUAUUUCUCCUCUUCGCUACAGAGUUAAUCGAUGAAUCCCGCGUGUACACUUCUGUUUAAUGACAAUUUAUCUGAUUUAUUGGAAAAUCUUAUUAAGCGAUUCGAGUAACUCGGUUCUUGAGCGACAGUGUGAUAAUAUUGGCGACAGAUUUAAUUAUGAUUAAACGAUGUCCAUGAUUAUUUUAAGCGGCGCACGUUUCGAGCUCGUGGAACGUCCUUCGUUCGCACUAGCGACUAUCGGCUUUAGGCUCAGUUUCACCGGCCAUUAUUUAUCUUAAUUAAAGGCUUUAUCGCUAUCGUAUACAUUAUGGAAGCGAUUUGA